GUCCACGCCGUAAACGAUGAAUACUAGGUGUAGGAGGUAUCGACCCCUUCUGUGCCGGAGCUAACACAAUAAGUAUUCCGCCUGGGAAGUACGAUCGCAAGAUUAAAACUCAAAGGAAUUGACGGGGGCCCGCACAAGCGGUGGAGUAUGUGGUUUAAUUCGACGCAACGCGAAGAACCUUACCAGGUCUUGACAUUGAUCGCCAUUCCAAGAAAUUGGAAGUUCUCCUUCGGGAGACGAGAAAACAGGUGGUGCACGGCUGUCGU
rnacentral:rRNA from 1 species